GAUGAACGCUGGCGGUGUGCCUAAUACAUGCAAGUCGAGCGAACAGACGAUGAGCUUGCUCCUCUGACGUUAGCGGCGGACGGAUGAGUAACACGUGCAUAACAUACCUAUAAGACUGGGAUAACUACGGGAAAAAGGUGCUACUACUGGCUCAUAUAUUGAACCGCAUGGUUCAAUAGUGCAACACGCCUUGGCUGUUACUUAUAGACGGAUCCGCGCCGCAUUAGCUAGUUGGUAAGGUAACGGCUUACCAAGGCAACGAUGCGUAGCCGACCUGAGAGGGUGAUCGGCCACACUGGAACUGAGACACGGUCCAGACUCCUACGGGAGGCAGCAGUAGGGAAUCUUCCGCAAUGGGCGAAAGCCUGACGGAGCAACGCCGCGUGAGUGAUGAAGGUCUUCGGAUCGUAAAACUCUGUUAUUAGGGAAGAACAAAUGUGUAAGUAACUAUGCACGUCUUGACGGUACCUAAUCAGAAAGCCACGGCUAACUACGUG
rnacentral:rRNA from 1 species